CGUAGGCAGCAAGCGUUGUUCGGAGUUACUGGGCGUAAAGGGUGUGUAGGCGGUUGUUUAAGUUUGGUGUGAAAUCUCCCGGCUCAACUGGGAGGGUGCGCCGAAUACUGAAUGACUCGAGUGCGGGAGAGGAAAGUGGAAUUCCUGGUGUAGCGGUGAAAUGCGUAGAUAUCAGGAGGAACACCGGUGGUGUAGACGGCUUUCUGGACCGUAACUGACGCUGAGACACGAAAGCGUGGGUAGCAAACAGGAUUAGAUACCCUGGUAGUCCACGCCCUAAACGAUGCAUAUUUGGUGUGGGCAGUUCAUUCUGUCCGUGCCGGAGCUAACGCGUUAAAUAUGCCGCCUGGGGAGUACAGUCGCAAGGCUG
rnacentral:rRNA from 1 species